AUGCUGGUUUUUGUACCAGUAAGUCAUUACAGCUGCUAGGAUGGAAUGGGUGUGGUCUAUCUUUUAUUAUGUGACAGGAAACAAAAAUCAAUUUCCUUGGUCCAUUAUGUCAGCUAGUCAACUUCAAAGCACAAGCUAAUAGCAGAAGAUUCUAUAUGAUAACUUACAAUUAUACUGACUAUGAUUUUUGGUAAUUUUUACUGUGUUUUUGUGAAUUGUUUUUAUAAAGUUUUAUUGUCAAACUCAA